ACCAGACUCCUACGGGAGGCAGCAGUGGGGGAUAUUGCACAAUGGGGGGAACCCUGAUGCAGCGACGCCGCGUGGGUGAAGAAGUAUUUCGGUAUGUAAAGCCCUAUCGGCAGGGAAGAAAUUGGACGGUACCUGACUAAGAAGCCCCGGCUAACUACGUGCCAGCAGCCGCGGUAAUACGUAGGGGGCAAGCGUUAUCCGGAUUCACUGGGUGUAAAGGGAGCGUAGACGGCCAUGCAAGCCUGGAGUGAAAGCCCGGGGCCCAACCCCGGGACUGCUCUGGGAACUGUGCGGCUGGAGUGCGGGAGGGGCGGGCGGAAUUCCUGGUGUAGCGGUGAAAUGCGUAGAUAUCAGGAGGAACACCGGCGGCGAAGGCGGCCUGCUGGACCGCGACUGACGUUGAGGCUCGAAAGCGUGGGGAGCAAACAGGAUUAGAUACCCGUGUA
rnacentral:rRNA from 1 species